rnacentral:rRNA from 1 species
CCUACGGGGGGCUGCAGUGGGGAAUAUUGGACAAUGGGGGCAACCCUGAUCCAGCCAUGCCGCGUGUGUGAAGGAGGCCCUCGGGUUGUAAAGCACUUUCAGUGAGGAAGAACGCCUGGUGGUUAAUACCCAUCAGGAAAGACAUCACUCACAGAAGAAGCACCGGCUAACUCCGUGCCAGCAGCCGCGGUAAUACGGAGGGUGCGAGCGUUAAUCGGAAUUACUGGGCGUAAAGCGCGCGUAGGUGGCUUGAUAAGCCGGUUGUGAAAGCCCCGGGCUCAACCUGGGAACGGCAUCCGGAACUGUCAAGCUAGAGUGCAGGAGAGGAAGGUAGAAUUCCCGGUGUAGCGGUGAAAUGCGUAGAGAUCGGGAGGAAUACCAGUGGCGAAGGCGGCCUUCUGGACUGACACUGACACUGAGGUGCGAAAGCGUGGGUAGCAAACAGGAUUAGAUACCCCGGUAGUC